UUGCUGAAAGAGACAGAGCUCGCUGACAGGUCACAUUCUCAUGUUCAGGUUUCAAACGGGUGAGCUGACGACCACGGAAGCCACCGCACUGCUGCCUGCAAGAACGGCCGUGAGGGCCUGAGCCUCGCCUCCCCCAGAUCUUGUCACAACUCCAAGGUAAGCGGGGAUGGCCGAGUAUGGAGCCAACUGAUCCAGCACCCCCUUCCCCAGCUGGAGAGCCUGGCAGCAACAAGGGGCGUCCCUACCCCGUCUGUCGCUCGAGUUCAACCGCCCAGCUCAGCCAGACUUUCCCCAACACCUGCCCGCAGGGAAGCUGCUGCCUCCCCACCCCCAGGCCUGCCCGGGAGGUCAUCUCUGCACGCAGCACCGGCCGCACUGCGCUUGCGUCAGCUGAGCCAACAGCUCUCUCCUCCUCCAUGUCAGGGGCUGCAGCUCAGCCACCAAGACAGAAGCUGGGCCGCUUCUCUGCUCGCCCCCCACCCUCAGGGGCUGCCAGCCAGCACCGACCUUUAGACAGAGGUUGCCUUCCUGGAACACCUCAAUCCCCUCCUCAUCCUCCAGGGGCACCUGCUGACCAUGGGGCCAGAAGUCGCCUCCAGAGACUAGGCCUCUCUCCUGGCUUUGGGAUAAGACAACAUGUCACCUCACCAGCCUGAAGGGACAGGGACGCAAAUUAGUCUGGGAGUCUGUUUCCUCGCCUGUGAAACGAGAGCUGCACCAGACACUGUGAGACGCCCUGGGCGGUGACCGCACCUGCAUUUCCAGGUGCGCUCUCUGGCUGGGCCCUGGGGGACCAUCCUUUCCGCCUCCUCUCUUCCUGACAGCAGCCCAGGCGGACAGCCCUUCGUGUCCCCUCUCCACGCCACGGCCCAGGGGAAGAGAGGCCGUGCUGUGCUGUCCAGAGUGCCCCGCUCCUGCCCUGCAGCUUCCUGGCGCUUCCCCCACUCGGUGGGGGUCCGAGAAGUGGUCAGCGUUCGUUUUCUGGCCUAGAGGGAGGCCUGGGGCCUUCCAGCCCCACCUCACCAGCCAGCAGCAGGGGCAGCUCUUCAGGGUGAAACUGCUGUGACUUGCUCACACCUCAGUGGUCUGAGUCAGCUGUACUUUUCUCCCAAACAUGCUCUCCACCCCACAUUCUGGAAAGUGAGGCCAGAAACUUGCUGAAAAGGAAAAAAAACACAGGCCAAAAAUGGGGCCAUGGUGCCGCCACCCAUGGCACUGAGCCUGGAUGGUUCUGGCAGGUGCCAAGGAGGUCAUCUGUCACGCAGGCCUUCUGUCCCCAGAGGAGCUGAGGGAAGGCCCCAUUUUCCCAGAAACGAUCCUUUUCCAUGAACCUCCAAGCCCUUCCCGGUUUCUGCCCAUAACAGUAGCCUUCCACCCUACACACAGCUGCUCACAGCUUGCUUCUUCACUAGACUAGGUGCUGCGUGACUCCUCAGUCACUCAAUAAAGACCACUAGCUCUUCAAAUGCAUGUGACUGGAUUUUUGUUCUCUAACAGAUUCAGCACACUGUCUUCCCCAGCCACGGCCAAGUAACAACCUCCGCGGAUUGG